GUUCAACCGAAGAAGUGCAUCGGAAACUGGGAAACUUGAGUGCAGAAGAGGACAGUGGAACUCCAUGUGUAGCGGUGAAAUGCGUAGAUAUAUGGAAGAACACCGGUGGCGAAGGCGGCUGUCUGGUCUGUAACUGACGCUGAGGCUCGAAAGUAUGGGUAGCAAACAGGAUUAGAUACCCUGGUAGUCCAUACCGUAAACGAUGAAUGCUAAGUGUUGGAGGGUUUCCGCCCUUCAGUGCUGCAGCUAACGCAUUAAGCAUUCCGCCUGGGGAGUACGGCCGCAAGGCUGAAACUCAAAGGAAUUGACGGGGGCCCGCACAAGCGGUGGAGCAUGUGGUUUAAUUCGAAGCUACGCGAAGAACCUUACCAGGUCUUGACAUACUAUGCAAAUCUAAGAGAUUAGACGUUCCCUUCGGGGACAUGGAUACAGGUGGUGCAUGGUUGUCGUCAGCUCGUGUCGUGAGAUGUUGGGUUAAGUCCCGCAACGAGCGCAACCCUUAUUAUCAGUUGCCAGCAUUAAGUUGGGCACUCUGGUGAGACUGCCGGUGACAAACCGGAGGAAGGUGGGGAUGACGUCAAAUCAUCAUGCCCCUUAUGACCUGGGCUACACACGUGCUACAAUGGAUGGUACAACG
rnacentral:rRNA from 1 species